AGGCAGCAGUGGGGAAUUUUGGACAAUGGGCGAAAGCCUGAUCCAGCAAUGCCGCGUGCAGGAAGAAGGCCUUCGGGUUGUAAACUGCUUUUGUACGGAACGAAAAGGUCUUUUCUAAUAAAGAAGGCUUAUGACGGUACCGUAAGAAUAAGCACCGGCGAACUACGUGCCAGCAGCCGCGGUAAUACGUAGGGUGCGAGCGUUAAUCGGAAUUACUGGGCGUAAAGCGUGCGCAGGCGGUUCUAUAAGACAGAUGUGAAAUCCCCGGGCUCAACCUGGGAAUGGCAUUUGUGACUGUAGAGCUAGAGUACGGUAGAGGGGGAUGGAAUUCCGCGUGUAGCAGUGAAAUGCGUAGAUAUGCGGAGGAACACCGAUGGCGAAGGCAAUCCCCUGGACCUGUACUGACGCUCAUGCACGAAAGCGUGGGGAGCAAACAGGAUUAGAUACCCUGGUAG
rnacentral:rRNA from 1 species